rnacentral:miRNA from 1 species
ACUCUCAGCGGCGGAGAGGAAUCCCUCUCUGCCAUUGAGAGUGUAUACUCUCACCGGCUGAGAGGGAUUCCUCCCGGCCGGUGAGAGUGUAUACUCUCACCGGCCGGGAGGAAUACCUCUCCGCUGUUGAGAGU